AACGCACCUUGCGCUCCUUGGUAUUCCGAGGAGCAUGCCUGUUUGAGUGUCAUUAAAUUCUCAACCUCUUCAGCUUUUGCGAGCUUGAUUGAGGCUUGGAUGUGGGGGUUUGCGGGCUUCUCAGAAGUCGGCUCCUCUGAAAUGCAUUAGUGAGACCUCUGUUGACUGUCUCUGGUGUGAUAAUUAUCUACGCCACAGUUGGUUAGCUUUAAUGUGGGGACUUGCUUAUAACCGUCUUAACAGACAAAUCUUGACCAUUUGACCUCAAAUCAGGUAGGACUACCCGCUGAACUUAA
rnacentral:misc_RNA from 1 species